rnacentral:lncRNA from 10 species
GGGGUUUCACCGUUAGCCAGGAUGGUCUCAAUCUCCUGACCUCGUGAUCCGCCCACCUCGGCCUCCCAAAGUGCUGGGAUUACAGGCGUGAGCCACCACGUCCGGCCUGUGUGUCCUUAUUCUUGUUUUCCACCCCUUUGCUGUCUUCAUCUGGUUGUUUCAGGCUCUUUAGGACCUGCUGAGGACAUGUAUUUCUUGCAUCACAGCGCUGUGAAGCACCCUGAGACUGCACAGGCCUCUGAGAAAUACAGACAGGUUAUAGGGAAAAACAAGAAGCUCUAGCCUCUGGCAGAUGUCCAUGCAACCCACCCAAGCCCCACAAAGGAAACAGUGCAAGCAGCUGAGAAUAUCUCUAGACUGUUGAUCAGACCUUGCCCAACCGACAUUCACAGGCAUACAGAUAGCCAGGUGUGCCCCUUUGCACAAAUUCGAGUCCUUCCAUGAGAUCCAGGAACCAAGCACAGCAGCAAAUCCUAAAGUGUUCCACAAAACACUCAUUCUUCCAGACUGUUGGCGUUCUACCAUUGACGGAGGGUGGAGCUGAAAAUUCUGGGCAGCUUUCCUCCAACGAGCCCAAGAAUCUGAAAGGCCACCCUGACACCCACGUACUACUCACCAGACACAGCCAGCGUCACUGGACAGCCACAAGUUUUGUUUUUGUUUGGUUUUUGAAUUCAGAGCUUCUGUUUGAGGCUUAGAGUUUCCAAGAUGGAGCAGGGACCCCUCUUAGGGGCCUACGGGGCCCCCUAAGCAUAAAGGAAAAUCUUGAGUUCCUUCCAAAGAAAUUCCAGGUACCUAACUAGCCCUAAGAAGUAAAUGAACAACUUGAUAAGCAAGAAAGUAACAGUGGUCUACAACAAUAGCCAAGUAAGUGAGAGCCUUGAGUGAUGGUAUGUUUGAUUCCCUAUAGAAACUAAAGAUAACAUCUUAACAUAUAUCCGUGAAUUGUUUUCCAGAAGCCCUGACCCCGACCAAAGGUUCCCCUGGCACAUCCACCUGAGAUAAAGAGCUGAGGACUGAAUUCUGAUGACCAUUCUUUGUUCUAAAUUCCUUCCUCAGAGGCCUGGAGCAAGUCACAUCCCCAGGCCAGACCUUAACAUUCCUUCCUGCUAACCCCAAGUUUUUAGACAAAGCUUCACUUCCUUAACCAGUCAGGAAUCAGAGUCUUCCUCCCGCUGCAGAGAACCUUGGUGUGAAAGUUCUGCUUUAUUGUGCCGGACGGAGUCUUGCUCUGGAGUGCAGUGGCCCGAUCUCAGCUCACUGCAAGCUCCACCUCCCAGGUCCACGCCAUUCUCCUGCCUCAGCCUCCUGAGUAGCUGGGACCACAGGCGCCUGCCACCACGCCCGGCCAAUUUUUUUGUAUUUUUAGUAGAGACGGGGUUUCACCGUGUUAGCCAGGAUGGUCUCGAUCUCCUGACCUCAUGAUCCGCCCACCUCGGCCUCCCAAAGUGCUGGAAUUACAGGCGUGAGCCACCGCGCCCGACCUCCUCUUAGUAACUUUCUACCCACUGACUCUACUCCUUGGCUGUAAAUCCCACUUGCCCAUGCUGUAUUUGGAGUUGAGCCCACUUUCUCUCCACCACUGCAAAAUUCCACUGUUGUGGUCCCUAUUUCUAUUGCAAUGUUCCUGAAUAAAGCCUUCCUUGCUGUGCUUUUACAGUAUUAUUGAGUAAUCUGGUUUUCUUUUAUACUGGAGAAAGAGGGAUUAGAGGUAAGUGGAAUUGGUAUCUAUUGGUUAAAGCCAAGAAAUUAACACUGUUCAUUCUUCUCCUCCCAAAUUCAAAAUGAAAAGAAAAAAAAGACAUAAGUGUCAAAUGGAGAUAAAUAUUAGCUUGAUUAUUGAUAAAAGUGGGAUUGAAUGACAGAGCCUAGAGGUACAACCACAUGGACUUGCUAAUUCUUUGCCCUGGGGAUCAAGCAUUUUCUCCUCUGGUCACCGGUCCAGCCUGAAGCCUAUGGGCCUUCCCAGGUGCAAUGCUCCAUGGAGAAGCAAAGGAAACUUACACCCUGAGGAGAGGCCAGUUCCAAAAGAGAUCCAGCAGGCCUGGCAUCCACUUUGACACUUACCAGUUAAGCAUGUCAUCAGGGAGAGAAGGUAAAAUAAGGGUCUAAGGAAAACCAAACAGAGAUUGUUAGCAGAGGUUGGGAAGGGUAGCAGGGAGCAGGAGAUAAAGUCAGGAUGGUUAAUGGGUACAAAAACACAGACACAAUGAAUAAAAUCUAGAAUUUGGUAGCACAAUAGGAUUACUGUAGUUAUCGAUAAUUUAUCCUAUAUUUUCAAAUACCUUAAAGAGUGGAAUUGGAAUGAUCCUAACCCAAGAUAAAGGUUUGAGGUGAUGGAUACCCCAAUUUCCUUGAUGUGAUGAUUACUUAUUGCAUGCCUGUAUCAAAACAUCUUAUGUACCCCGUAAAUAUAUAUAACUAUUAUGUA